CCGAGAGAUCGUGACCUGAGCCAAAAUCAAGACUCAGACACUUAACCAACUGAGCCACCCAGGUGCCUAAAGGUUCUAUUCAUGAAGGUUGCAGAAGAACGUAAGAGGAUCCUGUCCACAAGAAGUUUAUACUCUAUUUGCCGGUGACCAGGUAUAGGACAUGGUGUGGAAAAAGAUAAAACGUAGGAGCCCUGGAAUCCAGGUUCAGCCCUACCUGUUCCCAUAACCAAAAGUGACUGCUGCUCUCAGCCUUCCAUUCACCUUCCUGAACUCAGAGAUCACACUAGAUGGUCUUUAAGUAACAAGAAAACUAAAUCGUCUUCAAGUUAUAAGAUAAUACGAUGGCAUUUGAAUAACCCUGGGAGUACCUAUAAAAUGCUUAGUAAACACUGGUUACUAUUACCCGUA